UACGUAGGUGGCAAGCGUUGUCCGGAUUUACUGGGCGUAAAGCGCGCGUAGGCGGUUACUCAAGUCGGAUGUGAAAGCCCUCGGCUUAACUGAGGAAGUGCACCCGAAACUGAGUAGCUAGAGUACUAAAGAGGGUCGCGGAAUUCCCGGUGUAGAGGUGAAAUUCGUAGAUAUCGGGAGGAACACCGGUGGCGAAGGCGGCGACCUGGGUAGAUACUGACGCUGAGGCGCGAAAGCGUGGGGAGCAAACAGG
rnacentral:rRNA from 1 species